CUCACUGGAUUGUGUGCUGAGCUGUGCUAGGGUUCUUUCUUACCUUUUCCUCCUUAGACUCCAGUCCUGACGAGCCUCCAGCUGGUUCCAAUUGGACGCAAUCAGGGAGCAGUAUUUAGAGGAGUGGAUUCCCUGGGACGGACGCCAGUCGGUUAAAGUUCCACACAGUGGUAACCUACCUGCUAGCUCUCCUAAGACUGAACAAGAUAGUUUUGACUUAAGCUUACCUCCGUGUCCUCCUUCUCUCUCCUAGAAGCCUUGCUGUUUCCAAGCCGGUCUUCCUCCCAGUCUUCCUGGAUCCUUCCCUCGACUGCUCACCUGCCUGUCCACCCUCUGGAGCUCUCAGGUCGAAGCCCUCCAUCUCCGCCAAAGACUCAAUCUCUGUGGGCUCAUCCAACCUCCCCUCCAGCUGCUCCGCUCUCCAAGAACUUUCCAGAUGAAGCCGCAGUAAUCCGAACCACCACGCCAGGCUGAACUUAACUCUGUAAAACUUUUCAAUAAACAAUC